UCUUUUUUAUUUAUUUUAUUUUCUUUAUUUCGUACAUUAAAUAGAAAAUAAAAAGGGAAAGGGGACUCACCGGGAACCACCGUGGUUGCGCCGUCGGAGGGCUUCUCCUCCGUCGCCGAUUCGGGUCCGAGAGGGGUUGUGGGUUUCCCUCUUUCCCGCGGGUUGAGAGAUCUGAGAUCUCAAGGAUGCCACACAAUGAGGGUUAAAAACCCCUUUUUCUCGC
rnacentral:lncRNA from 1 species